CCGCUAUGAAUUGUUUGUUCUUUUGAAACACUUUGGACGGUUUUUUUUCAGCUCAGGCAACAGAAAUUUUGAUACCUCAUGACCAUUUGAUUUUAAGGCUGUUAAAGUUAAGCGGAUGCUGGUGUGUAAUGAGUGGAUAAGCACUUCCGAUCUGACCUUGAAUUAAUGAACGACUAAGUGUUCCAGAUAUUAAAAAAUGCUUUAAAAAACCAUCAUGCCAACUUACGUCAUUGCACGAAUUUGCACUAAUGAGCAACACUUUUUAUACAUUAGCAUUUUUCCUCAGAACAGCAUCAUUAGUCGUGGCUUAACUUAUCCAAGGGGUAGAAUUAAAGUUUGUGACCGUAAAUGAUUAUUUGUUUAUAACAUAACUGAAAAAUUGGUUCAACCAUUUCAACUGAACACGCGCUGAGUUACGCACUAACAAGGAAAAAAAUGGUGGAACCCUCUAACAUCAAAAAGAGGAAACAUCUACUCUUCAACUGUCUGACUUUUCUGAGGUAAACGGAUAAAAAAAGUGAUUCCCGUCACAGUGUCGCUAUAUAUUCAGGGGCGGCAGGGGCCCUUCGGUGAAAGUGGAUGUCGCAGUUCGCAAAGUUGUGCCCUUCUCCUACCAGUGUGCUGAAACGAUCGACCAAAUUUUUCACUCGUUAUGUUUAAAAUUUUGCUCUCUCAGAGCCACACCAAACCUCAAAAUCGGUACAAUCGGUCUAGAUACCAUUCGUUUCACGUCGAUUUACCGAACCUGCUCCGGGCACUCGUAACAUUGCACGUAGCGACGUGGUUUUCGGAAGCGCAGCGACCAGAAUCAGAAUGGUCUCACCUCCACGCCCUGGACUAUGGCCGUGGUGACGUCAUGGAAACGAGUAAUUCCUAUCUCCUGGCUGCAAUCAGCACUAGUCAAUUUGUAACGGCAAAACGCACACCACGGGGCAUUGAAAUCACAAAAAUGGGCGAUGCUGAUACAAGAGUGAAGGCGAAGUACAAGGAGGUCAUACUAGAAAGGGGAUGGAGUCCCGUAAAGCGGGUGGCGCUGGCUGAGAGACUUGCUGGUGGAGUUUUUCAUUACUCCCUGUUGUGGUGCAAUGAGACUGACUACAUGAAAUACAUCGUCUACGGCCGCAAGCUGACGCCGGAUUGUUGCCACUGCAACUGGAGGUGUCCGCUGAUGCGAGACCUGACAUCUCUGACGGUCUCACAAAUCAAAGACGCUGCUUUUUACUUGGAGAAUAUCUACCUAAGCGCAUCAUUCAUUUAA
rnacentral:lncRNA from 1 species